rnacentral:rRNA from 1 species
CCUACGGGAGGCAGCAGUGGGGAAUAUUGGGCAAUGGGCGCAAGCCUGACCCAGCAACGCCGCGUGAAGGAAGAAGGCUCUCGGGUUGUAAACUUCUUUUAUCAGGGACGAAGCAAGUGACGGUACCUGAUGAAUAAGCCACGGCUAACUACGUGCAAGCAGCCGCGGUAAUACGUCGGUGGCAAGCGUUCUCCGGAUUUACUGGGUGUAAAGGGCGUGUAGGCGGGAAAGCAAGUCAGAUGUGAAAACCAUGGGCUCAACCUGUGGCCUGCAUUUGAAACUGUUUUUCUUGAGUACUGGAGAGGCAGACGGAAUUCCUGGUGUAGCGGUGAAAUGCGUAGAUAUUAGGAGGAACACCAGUGGCGAAGGCGGUCUGCUGGACAGCAACUGACGCUGAGGCGCGAAAGCGUGGGGAGCAAACAGGAUUAGAUACCCUGGUAGUC